GGUAUGAUGCCUGUUACUAGCAUUCACAUGGAACAAACUGCUGCUGUGGGAGGAUGACAAAGAAGUGUGAGUCACCCUGCUGGAUAAACUCAGACUUUAAGCUUUAUUAUUUUUUGUUAAUCAUAAUCUGGUCACUGGGAUGUUCCACCUGAUAGUAAGUCUUUAAGAAUAAGGUCUUGUAAAAGAUUUAUCAACGGUAUCCUGAAAGCAAACUUUUUUACUUUAAUCCUUAAGCCCACAUUUUUUUUAAAAAAAUCUUUAAUGGAAAAUGUAUUCCUGUCCUUUUUAAUUCACAGUUAUGGUUUGUUCAUUAUAACUGUUUAUAAACACUUUGAAUAAUUUAACUAGAAAGAAAUAUAAACACAUUCUGAGUAUCUUUGCAGUUAAAAAUUAGGACUACUAUCCACUAAUUAAUCAUGGAUUGUUGGGAAAUAUGUUCAAAAAGAUUUAGAAAUUGGUAUUUCCCCCAUGUAACAAUUCUAUUUAGACAACUUCAGUUUCAAAUGGAUACUUUUAUAUGAAUCUUAAAGUAGACUUGAAAGGCUAUGGCAAUUAGUUUUUAAAAAAUGAAAGAUUUCAUUCUUUUUUAUGGCUGAGUAGUAUUCCAUUGCAUAUAUAUACCACAUAUCCUUAAUCCACCCAUUCGUCUGUCGCUGGACAUUUAGGCUGUUUCCAUUUGCAGCAACAUGGAUGCAAAUAGAGAUUCUCAUACUAAAUGAAGUUAAGUCAGAAAGAUAAAGACAAAUUCCAUAUGAUAUCAGUUAUAUGUGGACUCAAAAAUAUGGCACAAAUGAACCUAUCUACAAAACAGAAACAGACCCACAGACAUAGAGAAUAGACUUGUGGUUGCCAAGGGGGAGGGAAGAGGGAGUGGGAUGGAUGGGCAGUUUGGGGUUAGUAGAUACAGACUAUUACAUUUAGAUUAGAUGGGCAAUGAGGUCCUACUAUUCAGCACGGGGAACUAUAUCCAGUCUCUUGGGAUAGACCAUGAUGGAAGAUAAUAUAAGACAAGGAAUGAAUAUAUACAUAUGACUGGGUCACCUUGCUGCAAUAGCAGAACUUGCCACAACGUUGUACAUCAACUAUACGUUAAUAAAAAAAUCAAAAAGAUUUUUUAAACUUAGUACAGUUAAUGACAUGUGAGAACCAAUCCAUCUUUUCCCUACAAGAUAACAAAGAUUUGAUCAAAAAAAAUCUCUUAUUUGAAAUUAAGUCCCAAAACUAUGUUCAAAUUCAAUAGCUUAGCCGUUAGGUCAGAAAAUCCACCUCUCCUCUUCUCAGCUUGUUUAUUGUCCCACAGAAUGGGCUAAUACUUAACAGAGUUGGUAUGAGGCUUACGUGAGAUGGAGAACUAUUUUGUAAAAUAUGAAGUAUCAAUGUUAAUAUAUUAAUAAUAUAUUAACGUUAUAGUCAAAUUAAUCCCCCCUCUUUGUUAGAGAAAAACUAAUGAUUUGAUCCACAGAAUUUUUCAGGUCUGGAUUUCUAUGCCAUUUUUCUCCAGAGUUAUAGAACUGUACCACUUACAAAUACAUAGCUAAUUGUAAUCAGCAUCUUUAAUGUGUGUUUGUGUUAGCAACUCUUCUCAAUGUUUUGUCAAACAAGUUAUGUGCACUGAAACCAAAUAAAUCACUUGAGUGGUUGAUUUAAAAUAAUUUUUUGUUAUGGCCUUUUUUCUUUUGCAUCAUACAAAUUAUAAUUUCAGAAGUUAUUUACACACACACACACACACAAAGACAAUGGGAAAAAAUUAUGAGACCUCUAAGGGGAACAUUGCUGACUCUUAGGACACAGUAUUCUCAUGUGGGGGCAUCCCCCCCCCGGCCUAUCCCCCAUCUCUGUUCAGGUGGUCUGUGCUGCCAAAAUAAAUUCCUCCUCUUGACCCUGGAAGGAACACGUGGCUCCAGAGAGCCUCCAUGUAGGUACAUCACAAUAAGGCAUGUUUCCUGGGACUAUUCAUUUCAUCUGCACUGCUUGUCUUCUAGAGGAGUCCUUACUCUGAGUCCCAGUUCUUCCACACCCUGCUUGCAGCACCUACAGCCACGGAGUCUCAGUGUGUUAGCCCUGGAAUACGCUAAUCCAGUAUUACCUUCCUGCUGUUACAAUGAAAAGCUAUGUACAUCGAAAAGGCAGAUUAAGAAAAACUGCUGUGAAAUGAUUUGUUUGAAGAGCGACAGACCACUCUAUAUGAAACUAAAGGGAGUUUUACUUAAUCUAAGUCUCAGUUUCUUCAUCAGUAAAACAAUGAAUGUAUUUCAUAAGGAUGGCAGGCUGAAAUGAAAACAGUAUUUCUGAAAAGCAUGGUGUCUGCUCUGCAAUAAGUGUUAAGUAAACACUAGCUUUAAAAGUUUUAAAUUUCUAAAUCAAGUGACCUACCCUACCCUAGCAGAUCUCUCCAAGGACACAGCAGCUCCAAUCUAACCAUAAUCCCAGGAUGACAACCCAGGGAACCUGAAUAAUGCCACUGUCACUGGGUUUUCUCUUAGCCCAACUCUCUUAGGCCUCUAGUGCCUGACCUCAUGGUCUUAGACGGAGUCCUCCUGACCAAUAUAUUUAGUCAUUUCAAACAUUCUUGGAACAUGAGUAAGACUGGGGGUGUGUUUGGGUUGGAGGAAGAGGUAAGUGGCAAGGAAGUGAGUGUGUGUGUUGAAGUGACAAACUAAGAGUGGCUAAAGGGAACGUGGGCUCUGGGAUAGAUGGUGAAGGGAAAAGGACCUCAGUUUGGUACACAGAAUAACAGAACUGUGUGAAGCACUACAUUAUGCAGGACCUGAUUUAUUUAAUUACAAAAAAAAAACCCUGAAGAAUGAGGGUUGUCUAGGAUCUGACUCACUUCCCCAGAAAGUUGUUACAGUAGAGAUCAGGCUUUUCUUCUUCACUGUCACCAGCUGGAUAGACCCAGAAACUUAAAACAAAGGGGGGAAAAAGAGAAGAAUAAGGAAAAAAGUGAAAUGAGGAGAAUAAGGAACUUAUAUAAAACUGGAGUAUUAGAAUUUUUCCAAAAAUGGAGAUGACCAGGACUUUGUUCGAAGGUUAGGAAACUUGAAGAAUAAAAAAAGCUUGAAGGAAAUAGAGAGCCCAUAAAUGCGAAGCACUCAAAAAAGGCUGACCCAUUAUGUGGUUCUCCAGAAAACUGAAACGAAUAGAUGAAAUCUGCAUGUAACAGUUCAGCUUUCCACUUAGGAUUUCAUAUUUUGUCAUAUGCAAUACGGAGAAGGAAAUAAUGCAUACGUAAAAGAUUUGUUGUUGUUGUUGUUACUAUUGUGUUUUAACUAAUCUAAGAGUUCCAGUAUUAGUCUUCAACCGGCUAACACAUAUACAUCCCUAACCACUUAAGUAAUGAUUUUUCUAGGUGGAUUUCUCAAAUGUCAUUCCAUGCCAACGAUGUCUUCCCUAGGUUGGAUCACUCUUCCACCCUUCUUUGCACAGCUCAGCGAUUUCUCGGGUCACUAGCAUUUAACACACUGUAUCCCACUUUGUUUUCAUAUGGGAAUGACUGAACUAGAGCAGGUGGUACCCUAGGGCCCAUCCACCUUUUCGCCUACCCAUAUCCUGCUCACUGUUCACCAACUUAAUCACCAUUAUCAUUCCAAGGCGAAACCUAAAAACAGAACUCGGCUUAAAUAUACCAUGACCCAGGAACUUCCACAUGGCACAAGCUGGGCCAAAUAGAUAAAUAAAUAAUGAUGAAUACAGUGAACAUUUCACUUUAUACUGACAGGUUCAAAGAGAUGAUCUGGAGGAUAUAAAAGUUCAUUACAGCAAAUAAAUGACUGGAACAUGCUACAUAUAAAUGAUGAGCUAGGGCUGCAAUUAUCUCCUCAGAAACCUGUCAAGGUGCAGGCUCCCAGGCUCCCACCCCCAAGAUUCUGAUUCUGCAAUGAGGCUGAGGAAAGUACCUUUUUACCAAGCUAGCCAGGUGAUCCAGAUGCAAGUGGUUCAUAAACAAACUCUGAGAAACAGUGGUUUACAUCCAGUGCUACAUUGGUAUAGCACCUAGGAAUGGUGCUCGGCAGAAAUCCUGGACACACAGGCACAGCGUGUUUACACACCAUUCACUCUGUGUAGUGUGAGGUUCUGCAACCUGGGCUGACUAGUGAGAUGCUCUUAUUAUUGACUUCUUUUGGGGAUAAGCAUCAAUUAAAUGUCAGGUCCCAUCUUCCUUCCCAGCCAAAAACACCCUAACUGUCUCAAUAAAAUCCACCUGACUAGAAAGUCGCCCACUGAAACCAGUUCCCACCAGCUAUGACCAAUCAAUGACCUUGUACUAUCUAGGCCUAACCAAUUAGCUGCUGCUUGGAGCAGUAGUUAGGGAAGGUCAAUGAGGAGGACUUGGGUGCUCGGUCCUGCCAAAAGAGUGGGUUGGCUGACUAAGGAAACAAGCAUGAACUGUCACUGCCACCCUAUCUCACCUGCUCACUCGUGUGCUGUCAAGGCCUCAGCAAUCUUUAUUCCUAGGCUCCACUUAGGGAAAUGCCAUCCUUUCCCAAAUGCUGACAGUUCAGCAGUUUCUGAUCCCUUUGCCCAUGCUGAGCACACAGGAAAAGAGCCCUGAAACAGUUGCACCCAAAAGUGAUCUUUCUCCUCUGUUCUCCCAAAGUACAGUUUGUAGUUCUCCUAGAAAAGCGCUUCACACUGUGCCCCCUGUUAUUUGCAUAAGUGCUAUCCUCUCUUCUAGAUCAUGAGCUCCCGUAGGAAAGAACUAUCAUUUUAAACACUUCAGUAUUUCACUCAGCUCGGGCCCUUGCUCACACUUAAGUGAAAUGGGAAAACGUACCCAAGUCUCCACUGACUUUGGAAAUACAGUUUGUUAUGCUAUUGGAAAUUGUCUGUACCUGGCAUAUGUGCAUGUCCAGAAAAGCCUGGGGGACUGUUUUUCAAGUUGACUUAUAUGGACGCACUACAGACAACUCAGGCAUCAAUCUGGCUUUUCCUAAGUUCUGCAACUCAAGAAGGCAGUCUCCAUAUUCCUUUUAAGAAAUUCCAUUAUUAAAAAAAUCAUAUAUGAAAAUCUGUCCUUUUCCUCUCUUCAGGUAGGCUUGACAUAAUAACAUCCAGCUUUGAGAUCCCUUAGAAAUAACACUGCAGUAGUAGCUGUCACUAAAAAUAAAUAUUUUUCCUUUCUUUCUAUAUAUUUGACUGUAUGAAAUCUAAAAUCUAAUUGGAUAAAUUUAUCUUCAAAAGGAUGUUGUCUAUAUUUGCCAAAACUUAAAAUAUACAUACUCUUGGACCCGUAAGAUCACCUAUAAGAAUCUGUAUAACAGAACUAUUGGCACACAUGGAGCAUCAUAUGUACAAGCUACUAACUGAAGCAUUAUUUUAACAGCAAAAACUUAAAAUCAACUAUCAACAGAGGACCGAAUAAAGAAUGGUACACCUUUCUUUAACACAAAUAGGAUAGUAUAUACUGAAAGGCUAGAAACAGAACAUGCAACCCCUAAAAUGAAAAGGAAAAAAGAAGAGAAAAUAAGGAAAACUGGAUCAAUCCAGUACAUGGCAAGAAAGGAGAGGGAAAAAAAAUUCAAAGAAAUGUAAUUACAGAAAAGGAUAAUGAAUUAAAAUCUAUUUCUUAAAAGACAGUAAUUCCAAGACUGGAUUUUAAAAGACAACAACAGUUUUAUGCUGUUUACAAAAGACAAAUUUAAACCAUAAAGUUGAAAAAGUACAGAAAAACGUAUACCAUGUAAAUACUAGUAAAAAUCUAGUGUGAAAACGGAACCAGAUUAAAGAAGAAACAAACUUAGGAAAACAGACUAAGAGGGGGGAAUCAUUACUAGGGAUACUAAGGAUCCUUAUUUAAUGAAUAAAAAGAAAUAUUCUGCCACCAAGUUAUAAAAAUUCCAAACCAAAAUACAUAGUGCUAACAAAAUAGUCUCAAAAUAAAAUAAGCAAAUGUAAACUGUCAAGUCCACAACUAUUCUAGGAGAAUGGCUUUAAAGCAGGAAAAAAAAAAAAAAGAUUCCUAUAUGUUUGUUUAAAAAGAAAACCUAAAACAUAAUGACAGGAAAAGUUAAAAGGAAUGGAAAAAUACUUACCACUAGCCUAAGGAAAUCUCAUGUAGAAAUAUCACUAUCAGAAAAGCAGAUUUUAAGACAAGUCACUCAGAAGGUGACAAACUAAUCCAAAAACCAUGACUAUUUU
rnacentral:lncRNA from 1 species